UUAAGCGACUAAGCGUACACGGUGGAUGCCCUGGCAGUCAGAGGCGAUGAAGGACGUGCUAAUCUGCGAUAAGCGUCGGUGAGGUGAUAUGAACCGUUAUAACCGGCGAUUUCCGAAUGGGGAAACCCAGUGUGUUUCGACACACUAUCAUUAACUGAAUCCAUAGGUUAAUGAGGCGAACCGGGGGAACUGAAACAUCUAAGUACCCCGAGGAAAAGAAAUCAACCGAGAUUCCCCCAGUAGCGGCGAGCGAACGGGGAGGAGCCCAGAGCCUGAAUCAGUGUGUGUGUUAGUGGAAGCGUCUGGAAAGGCGUGCGAUACAGGGUGACAGCCCCGUACACAAAAAUGCACAUAUUGUGAGCUCGAUGAGUAGGGCGGGACACGUGGUAUCCUGUCUGAAUAUGGGGGGACCAUCCUCCAAGGCUAAAUACUCCUGACUGACCGAUAGUGAACCAGUACCGUGAGGGAAAGGCGAAAAGAACCCCGGCGAGGGGAGUGAAAAAGAACCUGAAACCGUGUACGUACAAGCAGUGGGAGCCUCUUAAUGGGGUGACUGCGUACCUUUUGUAUAAUGGGUCAGCGACUUAUAUUCUGUAGCAAGGUUAACCGAAUAGGGGAGCCGAAGGGAAACCGAGUCUUAACUGGGCGUUAAGUUGCAGGGUAUAGACCCGAAACCCGGUGAUCUAGCCAUGGGCAGGUUGAAGGUUGGGUAACACUAACUGGAGGACCGAACCGACUAAUGUUGAAAAAUUAGCGGAUGACUUGUGGCUGGGGGUGAAAGGCCAAUCAAACCGGGAGAUAGCUGGUUCUCCCCGAAAGCUAUUUAGGUAGCGCCUCGUGAAUUCAUCUCCGGGGGUAGAGCACUGUUUCGGCAAGGGGGUCAUCCCGACUUACCAACCCGAUGCAAACUGCGAAUACCGGAGAAUGUUAUCACGGGAGACACACGGCGGGUGCUAACGUCCGUCGUGAAGAGGGAAACAACCCAGACCGCCAGCUAAGGUCCCAAAGUCAUGGUUAAGUGGGAAACGAUGUGGGAAGGCCCAGACAGCAGGAUGUUGGCUUAGAAGCAGCCAUCAUUUAAAGAAAGCGUAAUAGCUCACUGGUCGAGUCGGCCUGCGCGGAAGAUGUAACGGGGCUAAACCAUGCACCGAAGCUGCGGCAGCGACACUAUGUGUUGUUGGGUAGGGGAGCGUUCUGUAAGCCUGUGAAGGUGGCCUGUGAGGGUUGCUGGAGGUAUCAGAAGUGCGAAUGCUGACAUAAGUAACGAUAAAGCGGGUGAAAAGCCCGCUCGCCGGAAGACCAAGGGUUCCUGUCCAACGUUAAUCGGGGCAGGGUGAGUCGACCCCUAAGGCGAGGCCGAAAGGCGUAGUCGAUGGGAAACAGGUUAAUAUUCCUGUACUUGGUGUUACUGCGAAGGGGGGACGGAGAAGGCUAUGUUGGCCGGGCGACGGUUGUCCCGGUUUAAGCGUGUAGGCUGGUUUUCCAGGCAAAUCCGGAAAACCAAGGCUGAGGCGUGAUGACGAGGCACUACGGUGCUGAAGCGACAAAUGCCCUGCUUCCAGGAAAAGCCUCUAAGCAUCAGGUAACAUCAAAUCGUACCCAAAACCGACACAGGUGGUCAGGUAGAGAAUACCAAGGCGCUUGAGAGAACUCGGGUGAAGGAACUAGGCAAAAUGGUGCCGUAACUUCGGGAGAAGGCACGCUGAUAUGUAGGUGAAGCGACUUGCUCGUGGAGCUGAAAUCAGUCGAAGAUACCAGCUGGCUGCAACUGUUUAUUAAAAACACAGCACUGUGCAAACACGAAAGUGGACGUAUACGGUGUGACGCCUGCCCGGUGCCGGAAGGUUAAUUGAUGGGGUUAGCGGUAACGCGAAGCUCUUGAUCGAAGCCCCGGUAAACGGCGGCCGUAACUAUAACGGUCCUAAGGUAGCGAAAUUCCUUGUCGGGUAAGUUCCGACCUGCACGAAUGGCGUAAUGAUGGCCAGGCUGUCUCCACCCGAGACUCAGUGAAAUUGAACUCGCUGUGAAGAUGCAGUGUACCCGCGGCAAGACGGAAAGACCCCGUGAACCUUUACUAUAGCUUGACACUGAACAUUGAGCCUUGAUGUGUAGGAUAGGUGGGAGGCUUUGAAGUGUGGACGCCAGUCUGCAUGGAGCCGACCUUGAAAUACCACCCUUUAAUGUUUGAUGUUCUAACGUUGGCCCGUAAUCCGGGUUGCGGACAGUGUCUGGUGGGUAGUUUGACUGGGGCGGUCUCCUCCUAAAGAGUAACGGAGGAGCACGAAGGUUGGCUAAUCCUGGUCGGACAUCAGGAGGUUAGUGCAAUGGCAUAAGCCAGCUUGACUGCGAGCGUGACGGCGCGAGCAGGUGCGAAAGCAGGUCAUAGUGAUCCGGUGGUUCUGAAUGGAAGGGCCAUCGCUCAACGGAUAAAAGGUACUCCGGGGAUAACAGGCUGAUACCGCCCAAGAGUUCAUAUCGACGGCGGUGUUUGGCACCUCGAUGUCGGCUCAUCACAUCCUGGGGCUGAAGUAGGUCCCAAGGGUAUGGCUGUUCGCCAUUUAAAGUGGUACGCGAGCUGGGUUUAGAACGUCGUGAGACAGUUCGGUCCCUAUCUGCCGUGGGCGCUGGAGAACUGAGGGGGGCUGCUCCUAGUACGAGAGGACCGGAGUGGACGCAUCACUGGUGUUCGGGUUGUCAUGCCAAUGGCACUGCCCGGUAGCUAAAUGCGGAAGAGAUAAGUGCUGAAAGCAUCUAAGCACGAAACUUGCCCCGAGAUGAGUUCUCCCUGACUCCUUGAGGGUCCUGAAGGAACGUUGAAGACGACGACGUUGAUAGGCCGGGUGUGUAAGCGCAGCGAUGCGUUGAGCUAACCGGUACUAAUGAACCGUGAGGCUUAACCUU
rnacentral:rRNA from 1 species